UGGGGAAUUUUCCGCAAUGGGCGAAAGCCUGACGGAGCAACGCCGCGUGUGGGAAGAAGGCCUUUGGGCUGUCAACCACUUUUCUCAGGGAAGAAGUUCUGACGGUACCUGAGGAAUCAGCCUCGGCUAACUCCGUGCCAGCAGCCGCGGUAAUACGGAGGAGGCAAGCGUUAUUCGGAAUUAUUGGGCGUAAAGCGUCCGCAGGGGGCUCAUCAAGUCUGCUGUCAAAGGUCGGAGCUCAACUCCGGUUCGGCAGUGGAAACUGGUGGGCUAGAGGGCGACAGGGGUAGAGGGAAUUCCCAGUGUAGCGGUGAAAUGCGUAGAGAUUGGGAAGAACACCGGUGGCGAAAGCGCUCUACUGGGUCGCACCUGACCCUCAGGGACGAAAGCUAAGGUAGCGAAAG
rnacentral:rRNA from 1 species